rnacentral:rRNA from 1 species
UGGGCAACCUGCCCCUAGCUCUGGGAUAACUGCGGGAAACUGUAGCUAAUACCGGAUGUGACACGAGACUGCAUGGUCUUCGUGUGGAAAGAUUUAUCGGCUAGGGAUGGGCCCGCGGUCUAUCAGCUUGUUGGUGGGUAACGCCUACCAAGGCGACGACGGGUAGCUGGUCUGAGAGGACGACCAGCCACACUGGAACUGAGAUACGGUCCAGACCUCCGUACGGGAGGCA